rnacentral:rRNA from 1 species
CCUUUACGUAUGGCGGACCGGGGCACGGGUGAGUAACGCGUAUGCAACCUGCCCGAUACCGGGGUAUAGCCCAUGGAAACGUGGAUUAACACCCCAUAGUACUUUUAUCCUGCCUGGGAUGGGAGUUAAAUGUUCAAGGUAUCGGAUGGGCAUGCGUCCUAUUAGUUAGUUGGCGGGGUAACAGCCCACCAAGACGAUGAUAGGUAGGGGUUCUGAGAGGAAGGUCCCCCACAUUGGAACUGAGACACGGUCCAA